AGGACAGCAGAAUGGUUAGAGGAGACUUUGCCUUUGGCUGGCUAAAUAAUGAGCCCCCUGAAUCUCUUAGAGGAGUCUGCAGUCAAAUCACAUGGAACUAGAACAGGAAGAAGGAGGGCUUUCUGAACCAUAUAAAUGAGCAUGUCUACCUUCAUUCUGUGGUGUGGAGCUCUCCCUGGAUUUCUGAACACCCACAUCAAGAGAGGAAUCAAAUCACACACAGAGAGAUCAAUACUCUUGCAUUCUUCAAUAAAUCUGACUCUUGGUGAAGACUGACGUUCAAAAUGAACUGCAAAUGGCUCUGGUUCCUGACCAUUGCUCUGAUAUUGGGAUUCAGCUCUCUGACAGAUGCUAGAAUACCCUUUAGACCUAGACCACCACCACGUAGACCACCACAUAAAGGCAGGAAUUGCAACGUAGCUCCAAGGAGAAGAAUUGAUUGUGGAUAUUCUGGAAUAUCAAAAGAAACAUGUUUACGUAAACAAUGUUGUUUUCGUACCAGGCCCCGGAAUGCAAAAUGGUGUUUUUUUCCCAAAUAAUUACAACAAAAUGGAAACUGGAAUCAAGAAUAAUUUGAAUGGAAUUCCCAAAAUGGAAGCAAGCUGGACGUCACAUAACAAUGGUGUGACAUGUUAUCUGCUCUUUAUCUAAUAUCUUGUAGCUUUUCUUGCAGGAGGUGAGAUAUAAUAGGCAUCUCCUAUUCAAUAAAUCAUCUAGCAGGAAAUUCAGUUAUCCUGCCAAAAUAUUUGGAUGGGGACAUAUUAAAGAAGUAUGGAUGCUUUCAUAUGACUUCAGUAAUUUUCCACAUUUAUAGUAUUCUAAAGACAUAUUUGCUUACUGCAGCCUGACUAAACAUUUCUGACAAUCUCAGCUCCAUGCCUUUAUUGUUAAGCUUUGCUAUCACUCUGAAAUCUCAUCUUUUUAGCAAUAUAUGUAUGGAACAUACAUGUGAAAGGUAUUAAAACAUGAUUGAAAAAAAGGCA